CGAUCACUUUGUUGAAAACGAACACGUGGGUGUACGAAAAAUAGCAAAACCAAUAAAAUUACCUAAAUGUGGUCGUCGUGGGAACUCUGGUGUCGUGGCUCUUUAAUUUAUGGAAUGGCUUAUUGCACACUCCAUGCUGUUUAGCAGGUUUGAGACCAGAGCCAGCCGUCAUAACUCAUAACCACAUGAUAUUCAAGUUUUGCUUGUGCUAGUAUUGUCCUUUCAUCAGUGAAAUCUCGACAGUAUCAUUGCUUGGAUAAACAGCAUCCGGAUUGGAAAAACUACCGAUGUCAGCCGAGUAUCUCUUCUCUCCCUUUCUUUUAAAAAUCUCCUCUGUCCUCGCGUGUACACCCAUGUGUGUGUGGGUGUAUUCGCGGGGACUUCCUUUUUUUUAUCCCGCCCGGUGGAUUCAACUAUUCUGCGGAUGGAGCACCUGUGGAUACCUGGCCGUAUUUCCCAGGCACAAAGAUGGCAAUAGACGGUGUUUACCUAGGACUUUUGAGCUGCAAGGAAUCAUGGCAAUCAAAAUGUUCCACUGG